UUCCACAAAUAUCAUUAUCAAUAUCAAUAUUCACAAAAUGGUUUACAAGACAAAUAAUAUUUUGCUUAUCAAACUUUCUUUACUUGUGCUUCUGAUGAUUUUCUCAGAGGUUGCUGGUAGGGACAUCCCUGCUCGUCCUUCACGUCCAUUACUCAAAUCAAAUGAAGCUCAGGACACAACUGGGACGUUGAAUGACCCAAUUAAGCCCCAAUGGUCGUGGGACGAACUUGUUGAAUAUUCAUAUUGCUCAGUGUACAAUUGUUGUGAUUCCUGAAAACCGAAGGAUCAUAUUUCUCCUUAAUAUACUAAAUAUAAUACUUUGUUAAAUAACAUGAGAUUAGAUCAAGAACUAUUACUUUCUACUUUUCUCAUAAUAUAUAACACGAGUUGUUAGAAAAAUUAUUUAAAAAAAAAAAAGAAGAAGUUGCAGUGUUUACAACUCGAAUGUCUAUAUAUUAUUGUGCAUAAAGGCAGAGUCAAGAAUGCCUUUGUACUCCCUAGCUAAAAGAAUUUAUAUACGGAGUAUAAUGUAAGCUACGAGUUUAAAUAAAGGAAAAAUAGUAAUGGUUUCUCCAUUUGCUUUU